UUAAGCGACUAAGCGUACACGGUGGAUGCCUAGGCAAUCAGAGGCGAUGAAGGACGUGCUAAUCUGCGAUAAGCGUCGGUAAGGUGAUAUGAACCGUUACAACCGACGAUUUCCGAAUGGGGAAACCCAGUGCAAUUCGUUGCACUAUCGUUUGAUGAAUACAUAGUCAAACGAAGCGAACCGGGGGAACUGAAACAUCUCAGUACCCCGAGGAAAAGAAAUCAACCGAGAUUCCCCUAGUAGCGGCGAGCGAACGGGGAGCAGCCCAGAGUCUUAAUCAGCAUUAGCAUCAGGAGAACGGUCUGGAAAGUCCGGCAGUAAAGGGUGAUAGCCCCGUAUCCGAAGGUGUUAGUGUUGUGAACUCGACGAGUAGGGCGGGACACGUGUUAUCCUGUCUGAAUAUGGGGGGACCAUCCUCCAAGGCUAAAUACUCCUGAUUGACCGAUAGUGAACCAGUACCGUGAGGGAAAGGCGAAAAGAACCCCGGCGAGGGGAGUGAAAUAGAACCUGAAACCGUGUACGUACAAGCAGUGGGAGCCUUGAUUUAUCAGGGUGACUGCGUACCUUUUGUAUAAUGGGUCAGCGACUUAUAUUCUGUAGCAAGGUUAACCGUAUAGGGGAGCCGUAGGGAAACCGAGUCUUAACUGGGCGAAUAAGUUGCAGGGUAUAGACCCGAAACCCGGUGAUCUAGCCAUGGGCAGGUUGAAGGUUGGGUAACACUAACUGGAGGACCGAACCGACUAAUGUUGAAAAAUUAGCGGAUGACUUGUGGCUGGGGGUGAAAGGCCAAUCAAACCGGGAGAUAGCUGGUUCUCCCCGAAAGCUAUUUAGGUAGCGCCUCGUGAACUCAUCUUCGGGGGUAGAGCACUGUUUCGACUAGGGGGUCAUCCCGACUUACCAACUCGAUGCAAACUACGAAUACCGAAGAAUGUUAUCACGGGAGACACACGGCGGGUGCUAACGUUCGUCGUGAAGAGGGAAACAACCCAGACCGCCAGCUAAGGUCCCAAAGUCAUAGUUAAGUGGGAAACGAAGUGGGAAGGCUCAGACAGCCAGGAUGUUGGCUUAGAAGCAGCCAUCAUUUAAAGAAAGCGUAAUAGCUCACUGGUCGAGUCGGCCUGCGCGGAAGAUGUAACGGGGCUAAACUAUGCACCGAAGCUGCGGCAGCGAUAUUUAGAUAUUGUUGGGUAGGGGAGCGUUCUGUAAGCCUGUGAAGGUGUGCUGUGAGGCAUGCUGGAGGUAUCAGAAGUGCGAAUGCUGACAUAAGUAACGAUAAUGCGGGUGAAAAACCCGCACGCCGGAAGACCAAGGGUUCCUGUCCAACGUUAAUCGGGGCAGGGUGAGUCGACCCCUAAGGCGAGGCAGAAAUGCGUAGUCGAUGGGAAACGGGUUAAUAUUCCCGUACUGGUGAUAAUUGCGAUGGGGGGACGGAGAAGGCUAGGCUAUCCGGGCGACGGUUGUCCCGGUUUAAGGAUGUAGGCAGGUGAAUUAGGCAAAUCCGGUUCACUAUAUGCUGAGGUCCGAUGACGAGUCACUACGGUGAUGAAGUAGCUCAUGCCCCGCUUCCAGGAAAAGCCUCUAAGCUCUAGAUUAUCAUUAAUCGUACCCCAAACCGACACAGGUGGUCAGGUAGAGAAUACUCAGGCGCUUGAGAGAACUCGGGUGAAGGAACUAGGCAAAAUGGUGCCGUAACUUCGGGAGAAGGCACGCUGGCAUUAGGUGAAGUGAUUUACUCAUGGAGCUGAAGCCAGUCGCAGAUACCAGCUGGCUGCAACUGUUUAUUAAAAACACAGCACUGUGCAAACACGAAAGUGGACGUAUACGGUGUGACGCCUGCCCGGUGCUGGAAGGUUAAUUGAUGGGGUUAUCCGUAAGGAGAAGCUCUUGAUCGAAGCCCCAGUAAACGGCGGCCGUAACUAUAACGGUCCUAAGGUAGCGAAAUUCCUUGUCGGGUAAGUUCCGACCUGCACGAAUGGCGUAAUGAUGGCCAGGCUGUCUCCACCCGAGACUCAGUGAAAUUGAACUCGCUGUGAAGAUGCAGUGUACCCGCGGCAAGACGGAAAGACCCCGUGAACCUUUACUAUAGCUUGACACUGAACAUUGAGCCUUGAUGUGUAGGAUAGGUGGGAGGCUUCGAAGCGUGGACGCCAGUCUGCGUGGAGCCAACCUUGAAAUACCACCCUUUAAUGUUUGAUGUUCUAACGUUGCCCCAUUAUCUGGGGUGCGGACAGUGUCUGGUGGGUAGUUUGACUGGGGCGGUCUCCUCCCAAAGAGUAACGGAGGAGCACGAAGGUUGGCUAAGCAUGGUCGGACAUCAUGCGGUUAGUGCAAAGGCAUAAGCCAGCUUGACUGCGAGAGUGACGGCUCGAGCAGGUACGAAAGUAGGUCUUAGUGAUCCGGUGGUUCUGAAUGGAAGGGCCAUCGCUCAACGGAUAAAAGGUACUCCGGGGAUAACAGGCUGAUACCGCCCAAGAGUUCAUAUCGACGGCGGUGUUUGGCACCUCGAUGUCGGCUCAUCACAUCCUGGGGCUGAAGUAGGUCCCAAGGGUACGGCUGUUCGCCGUUUAAAGUGGUACGCGAGCUGGGUUUAGAACGUCGUGAGACAGUUCGGUCCCUAUCUGCCGUGGGCGUUGGAAGAUUGAAAGGGGCUGCUCCUAGUACGAGAGGACCGGAGUGGACGCACCACUGGUGUUCGGGUUGUCAUGCCAAUGGCAUUGCCCGGUAGCUAAGUGCGGAAGAGAUAACCGCUGAAAGCAUCUAAGCGGGAAACUUGCCUUGAGAUGAGUCUUCCCUGACUCUUUAAGGGUCCUAAAGGAACGUUUAAGACUAAGACGUUGAUAGGUUGGGUGUGUAAGCGUAGCGAUACGUUGAGCUAACCAAUACUAAUGAACCGUGAGGCUUAACC
rnacentral:rRNA from 1 species